AUUGUAUGUCUUUGUUAAUAUUUUUUAUAGUAUAGUCUUGGCGAAAUUUGUAAUUAUAGAGGUAUAAAAUACAAUCAUAAUAGUGUACAAACUUACAAUUCCAAUUAAUUAUAGUCGAAUUUCGACUACUGCGGGACCUCUAGUUAAAUUUAACGAGGUAUUACCUCGACGUAAUCCAUAAUUGAUAUCAAUUUUAUAUUUGUGAGUGCAGUUGUCUGGUGUGUCUACAUCUUAUUCCUAAGCAUUGGAGGAUGAAAUCAUCAUCUAUCCAGUCAUUUACCGGUCAAAGUUUUAAUUGAGAAUAUAAAAAUUGAAAAUUGAAGCGCAUAGUGUAGAAAACGCGACAUGCGGUUGAACAGGAUACUGCCUUGGGUCCUGGAGACGAUUAUGGUCGCUACUUACCACCACUCUGCAUUGAACGCGGCGGAGGACAAGCUAGCGGCGUGCUUGGCGUGGGAAAGUCAGCGCCGUAUCCUCGUUCAACAAAUCCUUACCAACAUCACUGCUGAGCGUCGUGACGUGUAUACGCACAUAGUAUAUGAAAUAUCCAGAUAUGUAUUCAAAAGGACUCCUGAGCGGUGUGCUGGCUUUAUUAAAAACAGUAAAGCAGCCUUUUCACCAACAAAAAGCGCUUUUAUUCGCUAGCGACCCUCGCUACGUGGGGUAAGACAUCGAUUGUGGCAGAAAAAACGAUGUUUACUCGAAAUGAACUUCUACAAGUGCUACGAGACGGGAAAUCCUUUCUACAAAAACCCUCAACGAUAUUGCAAUAAAAAGGAAUCGAUUCGACUAGUUUUAAACGAUCUUUGACGAUACCCAUUUUCAAUUUACCAUUCAACGGCUUAUUUAUUAAUUCCGCUCGGAAAAUGGUUUAUUGCUUUAUAAUAAAAUUUUCAUAUAUUUCGUUUAACUAUUAAUAUAUUACAGUACAUAAUGACUUUGAAUGAACUGUAAUAUACAUAUUAGUAAUUAAAUGAAAAAUUUGAAAA